rnacentral:pre_miRNA from 1 species
UCUUAUGGAUGAGCAAAGAAAGUGGUUUCUUGUCAUGGAAUCUACUCCUGGUGAAGAAGCCAUGAA